UACGGAAGGUCCAAGCGUUAAUCGGAAUUACUGGGCGUAAAGCGCGCGUAGGUGGUUUAUUAAGUUGGGUGUGAAAGCCCCGGGCUCAACCUGGGAACUGCAUCCAAAACUGAUUCACUAGAGUACGAAAGAGGAAAGUAGAAUUUCUGGUGUAGCGGUGAAAUGCGUAGAUAUCAGAAGGAAUACCAAUGGCGAAGGCGGCUCACUGGCUCGAUACUGACGCUGAGGUGCGAAAGUGUGGGGAGCAAACAGG
rnacentral:rRNA from 1 species